rnacentral:lncRNA from 1 species
CCCUUUCCAGCUGCUCACCAGAGCUACCUUGGAUCAAGGCCAUCAAGCUACAGAUGGUCUUACAACUGGAACCCCAAAUGAGCUCAACUCAAAACUUCUACUGAGGACACCUGGACCGACCCACUGGCCCUUUGACUGGUCUAAAGAGUUCCCCUCUGGAGGACACUACAACUGCAGGGCCCCUUCUUCACCCCUAUCCAGCAGGAAGUAGCUAGAGCAGUCAUUGCCCAGUUCUCAACAGCAGUUGAGAGGGGAGAUUGAGAGGUGAGGCCAGCUGGACUUCCUGGGUCAAGUGGGGACUUGGAGAACUUUCCUGUCUUAUGAGAGGAUUGUAAAAUGCACCAAUCAGCGCUCUGUAAAACUCACCAAUCAGCAGGAUUCUAAAAGUAGCCAAUCAUGGGGAGGAUUGAAAAAAGCGCACUCUGAUAGGACAGAAAUGGAACAUGGGAGGGGACAAUAAGGGAAUAAAAGCUGGUCACCCCAGCCAGCAGCAGCAAACAACUUGGGUUCCUUUUACCCUGUGGAAGCUUUGUCCUUUCACUCUUCGCAAUAAACCUUGCUACCACUCCCUCUUUGGGUUCCUGCCAUCUUUAAGAGCUGUAACACUCACUGCCAAGUUCCGUGGCUCCAUUCUUGAAGUCAGCGAG